rnacentral:rRNA from 1 species
AUUGAACGCUGGCGGCAGGCCUAACACAUGCAAGUCGAACGAGUGGCGGACGGGUGAGUAAUGUCUGGGAAACUGCCUGAUGGAGGGGGAUAACUACUGGAAACGGUAGCUAAUACCGCAUACCAUCGGAUGUGCCCAGAUGGGAUUAGCUAGUAGGUGGGGUAAAGGCUCACCUAGGCGACGAUCCAUAGCUGGUCUGAGAGGAUGACCAGCCACACUGGAAAUGAUCAACGGUCCAGACUCCUACGGAGGGCAGCAGUGGGAAAUAGUGCACAAGGGGCGCAAGCCUGAUGCAGCCAUGCCGAGUGUAGGAAGAAGGCCUUCGGGGUGUAAAGUACUUUCAGCGGGGAGGCGUUACCCGCAGAAGAAGCACCGGCUAACUCCGUGCCAGCAGCCGCGGUAAUAC